UGGCUCAAUUGGUAGAACAUGAGACUCUUGAUCUCAGUGUUGUGGGUUGGAGCCCCAC
rnacentral:tRNA from 1 species